AUGAGGAAGCUCUUCUUCUCCGAGUUGACCUCCUGCAAGGAGACCAAGCUCCAGUCCGCCACCCACUCAUGGCUGCCCAUGGACAAAGGCAAGCUCUCCAAGUUCACUGGCCACUCCAGCUCCUCCUCCUCGAUAGAAUCUCUGAUGAAAAUGCCGGAGCCGCCGGUCCUCCCGCACUUCAAGCCCGCUGACUACGUCGACAUAUUGGCUCAGAUUCACGAGGAGCUGGAAUACUGCCCUCCCGACGAGAAGUCGUGCCUGUACCUGCUCCAGUUCCAGGUCUUCCGCGGGCUUGGUGAGGCCAAGCUGUCGCGAAGGAGCCUCCAGGCUGCGUGGGAGAAGGCGAGCACGAUACACGAGAAGCUCAUAUUUGGGGCAUGGCUCAAGUACGAGAAGAGAGGGGAGGAGCCCAUAUCUGACCUUCUUGGCUCGUGCGGCAAGUGCUCUCAAGAGUUCAAGCUGCUGGAUUUCGUCUCGCAGAUCUCCGCCGAUUCGCUCGGGAUAAGCUAUGACGACGAAUCUGAUGAGUUCCAGGGCUCCCCGGUGGUUCAUUUCCGGAUAAGAGAUGACAUGAUUGCCUGCGAUAGGCGGAAGCUUGCGGCCUUGUCAACUCCACUGUAUGCGAUGCUUAAUGGUGGGUUUAAGGAAUCACAUCUUGAGGUCAUUGACAUGUCUCGGAACGGCAUCUCGCCUAUUGGUAUGCGGGCCAUCAGUAAAUUCAGCCUGUCAGGAAGACUACCGUAUUUGUCAGCAGAAUCUAUUUUGGAGAUGCUUGAUUUUGCUAACAAAUUCUGCUGUAAGGGCCUCAAGGAUGCUUGCGAGCAAAAGCUUGCUUCUUUUGUUUCUUCCAGGCAAGAUGCCAUAGAUUACAUGGAGUGUGCUAUUGAGCUGGGCUGUUCCAUACUUGCCGCGUCAUGCUUGCAGGUGCUCCUGAAUGAGCUUCCAGAAUGCUUGAAUGAUGAGCAAGUGGUUAGGAUAUUCUCCUCUGCGAAUAAGCAGCAGAGAUCCACUAUGGCUGGCAAUGCAUCCUUCUCCCUAUAUUGCCUUCUUGGUGAAGUCUCCAUGAGCAUCAGUGCAACAUCAGAUGUCACUGUAAGCUUCUUGGAGAAGCUGGUUGACUCGGCAUCAGAUUCUAGACAGAAGCAGUUGUCCUUGCAUCAGCUGGCUUGCGUGAGGCUGCUAAGGAAAGAUCAUGCUGAAGCGGAGCGCCUGUUCAAUGCUGCCUUUACCGCUGGUCAUGUCUACUCGGUAGUGGGCUUGGCUAGAUUGGCCUCUCUGAGGAGCAAUAAGCAUUAUUCUCUCAACUUGCUUGACUCUGUCAUGUCAUCUCGUUGGCCUCUUGGGUGGAUGUAUCAAGAGAGAGCCCUAUAUCUGGACGGUGAUAGCAAGUUGGAGAAUCUCAAUAAGGCUACUGAACUGGAUCCGACGCUUACAUACCCCUAUAUGUUUCGAGCUGCAUCGUUGAUGAAAAGGCAAAGUGUUGAAGCUGCCCUGAUGGAGAUUAACCGGAUCCUGGGGUUCAAGCUGGUCCUGGAAUGCUUAGAGCUAAGGUUCUGUUGCUACCUUGCUCUAGAGGACUACAGAGCUGCCUUAUGCGAUGUACAGGCAAUCCUCACGCUUGCUCCAGAUUAUCGUAUGAUUGGUGGUCGGGUGGCUGCGAAGCAGCUACGUACACUUGUGAUGGAGAAUGUAGAGCAAUGGACGACUGCUGAUUGCUGGAUGCAGCUUUAUGAUCGGUGGUCCUCUGUGGAUGAUAUUGGAUCCCUCUCGGUCAUAUAUCAAAUGCUGGAGUCAGAUGCUGCUAAGGGAGUACUGUACUUCAGACAGUCUUUGCUACUUCUCAGAUUAAAUUGUCCUGAGGCAGCAAUGCGCAGCUUGCAGCUUGCUCGCGAGCAUGCGGCAAGCCAACAUGAACGGCUUGUUUACGAAGGAUGGAUACUGUAUGAUACUGGCCACUGCGAGGAAGGAUUGCAGAAAGCGGAAGCAUCGAUUGCCAUACAGAGAUCAUUUGAGGCAUUCUUUCUAAAAGCUUAUGCUUUAGCUGAUUCGAGUCUUGAGCCGUCAACCUCGGCAACAGUCGUAUCGCUUCUUGAAGAUGCAUUACGGUGUCCCUCAGAUAGACUUAGGAAGGGCCAGGCUUUGAAUAACCUUGGGAGUGUUUAUGUGGAUUGCGGUAAUCUAGACUUGGCAGCUGAAUGCUACAUCAACGCCUUAAAGAUUGGCCACACCAGAGCUCAUCAAGGCCUCGCCAGGGUUCAUUUCCUUAGGAAUAACAGGACCGGUGCGUUCGAGGAAAUGACCAAGCUGAUAGAGAAGGCCAGGAGCAAUGCAUCAGCAUACGAGAAGAGGUCUGAGUAUUGUGACCGGGAUCUAACUAAAGCUGAUCUGCAGAUGGUCACCAAACUUGACCCCCUCCGGGUCUACCCCUACAGAUACCGUGCUGCUGUUCUGAUGGACAACCACAAGGAGAAAGAUGCCAUCUCAGAGCUGACUAAGGCAAUUGCCUUUAAGGCGGACCUGAACCUGCUCCAUCUGCGUGCGGCCUUCCAUGAGCACGUGGGUGACAUCUCAGGCGCCCUCCGGGACUGCCGCGCAGCACUUUCCGUGGACCCCAACCACCAGGAGAUGCUCGAGCUUCAUCACCGGGUGAACAGCCAAGAACCCUGA
rnacentral:rRNA from 1 species